CGGAGGGUGCAAGCGUUAUCCGGAUUCACUGGGUUUAAAGGGUGCGUAGGAGGGCAGGUAAGUCAGUGGUGAAAUCUUCGAGCUUAACUCGGAAACUGCCGUUGAUACUAUCUGUCUUGAAUCCCGUGGAGAUGAGCGGAAUAUGUCAUGUAGCGGUGAAAUGCUUAGAUAUGACAUAGAACACCAAUUGCGAAGGCAGCUCGUUACUCGAAGAUUGACUCUGAGGCACGAAAGCGUGGGGAUCAAACAGGAUUAGAUACCCUGGUAGUCCACGCCCUAAACGAUGGAUACUCGACAUACGCGAUACACUGUGUGUGUCUGAGCGAAAGCAUUAAGUAUCCCACCUGGGAAGUACGACCGCAAGGUUG
rnacentral:rRNA from 1 species